rnacentral:rRNA from 1 species
CCUACGGGAGGCAGCAGUGGGGAAUAUUGCACAAUGGGGGAAACCCUGAUGCAGCGACGCCGCGUGAGUGAAGAAGUAUUUCGGUACGUAAAGCUCUAUCAGCAGGGAAGAAAAUGACGGUACCUGACUAAGAAGCCCCGGCUAACUACGUGCCAGCAGCCGCGGUAAUACGUAGGGGGCAAGCGUUAUCCGGAAUUACUGGGUGUAAAGGGAGCGUAGACGGUUAAGUAAGUCUGGAGUGAAAGGCCGGGGCCCAACCCCGGGACUGCUCUGGAAACUAUUGAACUUGAGUGCAGGAGAGGUAAGCGGAAUUCCUAGUGUAGCGGUGAAAUGCGUAGAUAUUAGGAGGAACACCAGUGGCGAAGGCGGCUUACUGGACUGUAACUGACGUUGAGGCUCGAAAGCGUGGGGAGCAAAUAGGAUUAGAUACCCGGGUAGUC